rnacentral:rRNA from 1 species
UGCAUAGGAAUCUACCUAGUAGUAUAGGAUAGCCACUAGAAGUGGUGGGUAAUACUGUAUAAUCCCUGCGGGGGAAAGAUUUAUCGCUACAUGAUGAGCCUAUGUUAGAUUAGCUAGUUGGUGGGGUAAUGGCCUACCAAGGCAGUGAUCUAUAGCUGGUCUGAGAGGAUGAUCAGCCACACUGGAACUGAGACACGGUCCAGACUCCUACGGGAGGCAGCAGUGGGGAAUAUUGGACAAUGGGCGCAAGCCUGAUCCAGCUAUGCCGCGUGAGUGAGGAAGGCCUUAGGGUUGUAAAACUCUUUCAGUGGGGAAGAUAAUGACGGUACCCACAGAAGAAGUCCCGGCAAACUCCGUGCCAGCAGCCGCGGUAAUACGGAGGGGGCAAGCGUUGUUCGGAAUUAUUGGGCGUAAAGGGCAUGUAGGUGGUUUGGUUAGUUAAAGGUGAAAUGCCAGGGCUUAACCCUGGAGCUGCUUUUAAUACUGCCAGACUGGAGUCCGGGAGAGGAUAGCGGAAUUCCUAG